rnacentral:sRNA from 1 species
GCUGGGCUCAGUGGCUCAUGCCUGUAACCCCAGUAACUCAGGAGGCUGAGGCAGGAGGAUUGUGAGUUCAAGGCCAGCCUCAGCAACCUAGUGAGGCCCUGAGCAACUCAUCCAGACCCUGUCUCAA